rnacentral:rRNA from 1 species
UGACCUGCCUGGUAGCGGGGGAUAACUAUUGGAAACGAUAGCUAAUACCGCAUAACAGUCGACAUUGCAUGAUGUUGAUUUGAAAGGGGCAAUUGCUCCACUACCAGAUGGACCUGCGUUGUAUUAGCUAGUUGGUGAGGUAACGGCUCACCAAGGCGACGAUACAUAGCCGACCUGAGAGGGUGAUCGGCCACACUGGGACUGAGACACGGCCCAG